UACAGAGGGGGCAAGCGUUAUUCGGAAUUAUUGGGCGUAAAGGGCGCGUAGGCGGCCUGGCAAGUGACGGGUGAAAGCCCUCGGCUCAACCGAGGAACUGCCUGUCAUACUGCCGGGCUUGAGUCCGGGAGAGGUGAGUGGAAUUCCCAGUGUAGCGGUGAAAUGCGUAGAUAUCGUAAGGAAGACCAGUGGCGAAGGCGGGUCUCUGGACAGUUCCUGACGCUGAGGCACGAAGGCCAGGGGAGCAAACGGG
rnacentral:rRNA from 1 species